CCUACGGGAGGCAGCAGUGGGGAAUAUUGCACAAUGGGGGAAAGCCUGAUGCAGCGACGCCGCGUGAGGGAAGAAGUAUUUCGGUAUGUAAAGCUCUAUCAGCAGGGAAGAAAAUGACGAUACCUGAUUAAGAAGCACCGGCUAACUACGUGCCAGCAGCCGCGGUAAUACGUAGGGGGCAAGCGGUAUCAGGAUUUACUGGGUGUAAAGGGAGAGUAGAAGGCAGCGCAAGGCUGAAGGGAAAUGCGGGGGCUUAACCCCGGAACUGCUUUGGAAACUGUCUAGCUAGAGUGCAGGAGAGGUAAGUGGAAUUCCUAGUGUAGCGGUGAAAUGCGUAGAUAUUAGGAGGAACACCAGUGGCGAAGGCGGCUUACUGGACUGUAACUGACGUUGAGGCUCGAAAGCGUGGGGAGCAAACAGGAUUAGAUACCCUUGUAGUC
rnacentral:rRNA from 1 species